GAUCAGAGAGACCAAAAGUCCACAGGAGUAUAAUGCAUUCCAUAAGGAAAACUCAUUGUGGAGACCGAGACUCUGGGGGAUAAAGGAGUUAUGCGUAGGCCAGGCUACGACUUAAAAAUGAUGGGGGACUCGAGGAUUUCCAUAUAAAAUGGAAAGACUCAGCCGGGGAAGAACAACAUCUGCAGCGAAAGCGAGUAUAUCAGGAUAACACUGAAG
rnacentral:lncRNA from 1 species